GGAGUUGUAGCUCAGUGGUAGAGCACUUGCCUACCAUGUGUGAGGUACUAGGUUAGAUUCCCCAGCACCA
rnacentral:tRNA from 1 species